rnacentral:tRNA from 1 species
GCAGUAGUGGUUCACUGGUAGAAUUCUCACCUUUCACGUGCGGGACCUGGGUUUGAUUCCUGGCCAAUGCA